rnacentral:rRNA from 1 species
GUCCACGCUGUAAACGAUGGAUACUUGUUGUUGGAGGUAUUGACCCCUUCAGUGACGCAGUUAACACGGUAAGUAUCCCGCCUGGGGAGUACGGUCGCAAGAUUAAAACUCAAAGAAAUUGACGGGGCCCGCACAAGCGGUGGAGUAUGUGGUUUAAUUCGAUGCAACGCGAAGAACCUUACCUACUUUUGACAUGUACUGGAAGACUGGCAGAAAUGUCGUCGCCCGCAAAGGGUCGGUACACAGGUGCUGCAUGGCUGUCGU